rnacentral:piRNA from 1 species
UGAACCAAUACAUCUAUCGGGGUUACUUC